UUUCGGCGGCCAUAGCGUGAGGGAAACGCCCGGUCACAUUCCGAACCCGGAAGCUAAGCCUCACAGCGCCGAUGGUACUGCAGGGGGGACCCUGUGGGAGAGUAGGACACCGCCGGACUU
rnacentral:rRNA from 1 species